CCUACGGGAGGCAGCAGUGGGGGAUAUUGGACAAUGGGGGGAACCCUGAUCCAGCGACGCCGCGUGAGUGAAGAAGUAUUUCGGUUUGUAAAGCUCUGUCAGCAGGGACGAAAGCAAUGACGGUACCUGAGCAAGAAGCCCCGGCUAACUACGUGCCAGCAGCCGCGGUAAUACGUAGGGGGCAAGCGUUAUCCGGAAUUACUGGGUGUAAAGGGAGCGUAGACGGGUGUGCAAGUCUGGAGUGAAAGGCGUGGGCUCAACCCCCGGACUGCACUGGAAACUGUAUGGCUGGAGUGCAGGAGAGGUAAGCGGAAUUCCGAGUGUAGCGGUGAAAUGCGUAGAUAUUAGGAGGAACACCAGUGGCGAAGGCGGAUUACUGGACUGUAACUGACGUUGAGGCUCGAAAGCGUGGGGAGCAAACAGGAUUAGAUACCCGUGUAGUC
rnacentral:rRNA from 1 species